rnacentral:lncRNA from 1 species
GCGGCGUCGGGUUGGAAAACCAGGAGAGCAUGGAGCUUUUUCGCUGGUCCGGCGCGGUCUCUUGCGUUCCUGUGGCGGGCACCUGACUCCCCAUGCCCGAGUACUGUCCUCAGGCGGAACGGCGUCUGCAGCGAGGAGCGGGGUUCCAGCAGGCUCGGCUGACGCGGUCCCUGGCAUUUCCCGUGCUGGCCCUGGGUCGCCCUCGAUGCUGCUUCCCGCUGGGAGCCUCCUUCUGACGGCGGAAAGGAGCUUCACCUGGGGCGGCCGGCGGGGAACGGAGAAGAAUCCACCGGGGAAGUGGACGGGGCUGGCUCCCGGGCCUGGCGCUGCGGCUCUCGGGCCGUCAGACCUCCCGCGGGUUGCGUCACUUUCCUCGGUUUUCUAGACAGCAGUUGUGGGGUUGAAUCCUUGCCGUGGUUUUGUAAGAAUUAAAUGAGAUAAUGAACGCGAACACCAAUCAUUGCUCUUUGUUGGGUGCUUCCUGUGGGCCUGGCAAUAUUAACAACACGAGCUCAUUCAUGCAUUCAUUUGCUACUCAGUGACUUUCCUGUCAAUACUGCAAGGUGCUGGAGAUGAGCCCCCACUCUUUGGUCAGUAAAACUGCCAAGAUCACCGACCUUGUGAAGACAUUUGAGGAUGAGAGGUUGGUUGGAGCCUGGACGUGGAGACAGACUCUAAAUAGUUAACUACAAGACACAUGUAAUUACAACUUUGAGAGCUUAUAGCGGGAGGCCCUUUUGGGAAGGGGGUGGAGAUGGAGAAGAGGAAGAAAGAAAGGGCUUCCCUGAGGAAGUAAUAUUGCAGCUGUGACCUGACAGAUGAGGCCGAACCAGCUAGACUCGUGUUUCAGGCCUCGGGAAUAGCAUAAGGACUCCAGCUGGCUCCUUCCGGGUUGAGUCCUUAUGCUGAAAUUGGUAUUUGGCACACACCAGUAGUAGAACGCCACUCAAUGCCUUAUUCUCUUCCCCUUCUCUCAGCUCUGUCCCCUCCACAUAGUAGGACAAUGAAACUGGUAACUAUUUUUGGUCCGAAUAGUCCUUCCAUUAUUAUCUGUUAUAGUCCACCAUGCAGGUUCUUCCUAACUCCUUUUGAUCAAAAUAGAUAUUUUUGAAAAUGUGAAGAAAGCAGUAUCGUAUCUUGUAUGGUUUCUCAUUGCCUUCUAAGUCAGAUAUAAACAACGAACUUGCUUGAAAUGUUCUCUAUCAGACCAAGGACCCAUAUUUAAUUCCAACUUACACUCUGCUACACCCUUUCGCUAAAUUCUUUAGUUGAUGUUAACUGCAUUUGGAACCCUGUAUUCAGCGUUGAAUUGCACAUUCUGAAGCAAUUGUGUUCUUACUCAGCACGCUCAUUUCUGUAUCCCAAGUAUCUCCCUGCCUCCAGAACAUGUUUACUCUUUAACCACUUCCUGAUAAUACAGUAGGCUACCAUUACUCUAAAUAGUUGCAGUUAUUGAAUAUAGGCACAUUUUUAAAUUAUAAGAAUCCUAUCCCAAUCCAAGGUACAAUUUGCUGAUCGCAUACUGAUUCAUUUUCCUCCCACUCUGGGUCCUUUCAUCUGCUGUUCUCCCAGUCCAGAUGCCAGCCAGGCAUUUGAGAACCAUCUGAUGGUAACAGGAUGGAGGCUGACUCAACUUCACUCCACCACCUGCCUUCCUGCCUUCAGGGAGAUUUUGUACAUAGCUUAUCCUUUAAGUUCUUCUGCUUGUUACUGCUCACAGCACUGUGAUUCUACUUUAGGCACCUUCUGUACAUUCAUAUUCAUUACUUUUUUUCUCCUCUUUCCUGUUUAUGGUUAGAAAGGUGCUUCACCAAUCUAUUUUAGAACCAAAGAAGAGAUCAAAUUAUAAUAACAUGAGCAUAGUAUUAUGCUAUAGGAUACUAGUAAGAAACUCAGUUCCUCCUCUUUGUUCCCAUAAUAUUUUGUGAAUAUGUCUAUGAUAGUAUUUAAUACAUUGCAUUAUGACUUGUUGUUUGUGUCAUUCUCCACUUAUUAAUUAGACUUCUUUGAGGAUAGAGAUUGAGUUUUUAAAUUUGUUUCUUCAUUUGUUCUUUUACUUAGCUCAAUGCCUGGCAAAAAAACAAAUCAUUGUUAAAUCAGUUUUUAGGUGAAAUAGGGAUAAGUGGGAGGCUAACUUAUCCAGUCUUUGAAAAUGCCUAGCGAUCCCCUUCAGAAUCCUCACACAUCAUCAUCAAUCUUCUUACCCUGUAAAUAAAUAUACUUUUCUCACACAUUAAAGAUAUUUGUAAAAUAAAUUUAUUCAGUUUUUUUUUCUAUUGCAGUGAUAUGUGUGUGUAUAUAUGUAUAUAGUUGUAUUUAAACUAAACAGGAGAAAAGGAGCAAGCCUGUGAAGUAUUAUUUCCGCAUUUACCAGCAAGACAAUUAUCUCAGAAGAUUAAAAUGUGAGAGAUACAACUAGUGUUCAAACCCUGCUCUUUCUGAUGCCACAGUCAAUGUUCUUUCUUUGGUAGAAACCAAACUGUAUUUUUCUUAUUGUUCAAGUAAUGUAAUUAACUAUGGAAAAAUAAGAAAUUACAGAUUAACAAAAUAAAGCAAAAGUAAGUAAAAUUCAUCCAUGAUUUCAUCAUUCUGAGCUAAUAAUUGUUAACAUUUUUGUGAAUACAUAUACAUACACACACAUUACAUAUGCACAGUUGUUUGGGGUUUUUUACAAAAAGGGAAUCACACUAAUUUUAAUCUUUUAUAAUCUACUUUUUUGCUUAACAAUAUGUGAUAACUCCUUGAUUCAUUUAUUCAUUUAUUCUAAGGUUUUUCAUCCUGGGCACUGUUUACAUAUCGGGCCAGGUACUUCCUUGUUAUGGAGGGUGAUAAAAAUUCUUUGCUUGACCAAACUUUAUUCAGGCUCCUGAACCUUCUCCUAGGCCUGUCUGUAUACUUUCUUGUAAAAUCAGAUUUAGCAACAAACUGUUGAGUCAGUUUAGCAACUGCCCCCCAUCACCCGCAUCCUUGAUAUAUGAUCACCAUCAAUAUGUUCCUCAUCCUCCAACAUCCCUUAGACGAAAUCUAAUAACCCUAGCCUGUCAUAAGCAAGAAUCCUGUUAGGUUGUGUUAGCCAGAACCCUCCUUACCCUUGAUGCUUCCUCUUAGCAGUUGUCCAUUCACUUCUCCUACCCUGCUCCUUCUCUAUAAAUUCCCACUUGCCCCAUGCUAUAUACAGAGUUGAGCACAAUCUCUCUCCCCAACUGCAAAAUCUUAUUGCAAUAGUCCCUAUACCUAUGGCAAUGAUCUUGAAUAAAGUCCUCCUUGCCAUGCUUUAGCAAGUGUCAUUGAUUUCUUUUACAGGGCCUGUCCUAUGCAAUGUACAAUGCUUAACAGCAUCCCUGGCCUUUAUCCACUAUAUGCCAUUAGUACUACCCCUUCUUCAUUGUGGCAAACAUACAUGUCUCCAGACGUUGCCAAAUGUCUCCUGGAGGACAAAAUUGUCCCUGGUUGAGGACACUGAUUUAUUCUAUAUUACAUUAAUCAAUUUUCUUUUCUUGACACUUGCCCACCCAAUGACUAUUAGAAACUCAAUAGUAAAUGCUUUGCUUUUUGCAUUUUGUUCUAGAAAUAGUUAAUAUCAAAUUAGCAGAAGUUUUACAAAAUUAGAUGUUUUAAACUCCUUAUUAAACUCUGAAAUAAUGCUACCAGACUCUGGAAUGUUCUUUCGUCUUAGAAUGUGCCCUCUUUAUGACCUAUGGAUUUGUUGUUUAAAAUUUAAAAGUUAGCUUUGAGUGAAUGAAGCAUAAAUUAUCUUAAAGCAAAGGUAUAGUAACAUUAUGAAAAAGAGUAUUAAGACUGAUAGCCUUUGGGAGAAGUGAAUUUGCUAAAUGAGUGACUUUGAUCAAAUUUUUAUGCACAGAUAUAUGUACUUCGUAGAUUUUUAUCAUUGCAAUGUCUUUUGUAUCUUUGAUUUUCAAAAGAUUUCUAAAAUCAGGACAUUCUGACACAAAAAAUUCUUGAACAUCUUUCAAAGUUUAAAAAGUCAGAAGUUUUUAGAAGCUGUUAUAUUUUACUUUUUAAAAAAUGUUUUUAUUGUUAAAUGAAAACAUAUUAUAAUAAUUGCAUAAAAACAUAAGUAUGCUGUUU